rnacentral:rRNA from 1 species
UGGGGAAUAUUGCACAAUGGGCGAAAGCCUGAUGCAGCAACGCCGCGUGAGUGAUGAAGGCCUUCGGGUUGUAAAGCUCUGUCUUUUGGGACGAUAAUGACGGUACCAAAGGAGGAAGCCACGGCUAACUACGUGCCAGCAGCCGCGGUAAUACGUAGGUGGCAAGCGUUGUCCGGAUUUACUGGGCGUAAAGGAUGCGUAGGCGGAUUUUUAAGUGAGAUGUGAAAACCCUAAGCUUAACUUGGGGGCUGCAUUUCAUACUGGAAAUCUAGAGUGCGGGAGAGGAGAAUGGAAUUCCUAGUGUAGCGGUGAAAUGCGUAGAGAUUAGGAAGAACACCAGUGGCGAAGGCGAUUCUCUGGACCGUAACUGACGCUGAGGCAUGAAAAGCGUGGGUAGCAAAACAGGAUUAGAUACCCUGGUAGUCCACGCCGUAAACGAUGAGUACUAGGUGUAGGAGGUAUCGACCCCUUCUGUGCCGCAGUUAAACACAAUAAGUACUCCGCCUGGGGAAGUACGAUCGCAAGAUUAAAAACUUAAAAGGAAAUUGACGGGGGUCAUAGCUGUUUUCCU